AACGAACGCUGGCGGCAUGCCUAACACAUGCAAGUCGAACGAUGCUUUCGGGCAUAGUGGCGCACGGGUGCGUAACGCGUGGGAAUCUGCCCUUGGGUUCGGAAUAACAGUGAGAAAUUGCUGCUAAUACCGGAUGAUGUCUUCGGACCAAAGAUUUAUCGCCCAGGGAUGAGCCCGCGUAGGAUUAGCUAGUUGGUGGGGUAAUGGCCUACCAAGGCGACGAUCCUUAGCUGGUCUGAGAGGAUGAUCAGCCACACUGGGACUGAGACACGGCCCAGACUCCUACGGGAGGCAGCAGUGGGGAAUAUUGGACAAUGGGCGCAAGCCUGAUCCAGCAAUGCCGCAUGAGUGAUGAAGGCCUUAGGGUUGUAAAGCUCUUUUACCCGGGAUGAUAAUGACAGUACCGGGAGAAUAAGCUCCGGCUAACUCCGUG
rnacentral:rRNA from 1 species